UACGUAGGCAGCGAGCGUUGUUCGGAGUUACUGGGCGUAAAGGGUGCGUAGGCGGGUCUUUAAGUCAGGGGUGAAAUCCUGGAGCUCAACUCCAGAACUGCCUUUGAUACUGAGGAUCUUGAGUUCGGGAGAGGUGAGUGGAACUGCGAGUGUAGAGGUGAAAUUCGUAGAUAUUCGCAAGAACACCAGUGGCGAAGGCGGCUCACUGGCCCGAUACUGACGCUGAGGCACGAAAGCGUGGGGAGCGAACAGG
rnacentral:rRNA from 1 species